rnacentral:hammerhead_ribozyme from 1 species
AUUCAGAUGAUGAGUCUCACGCGAGACGAAAUGCGCAUCCUGGAU